rnacentral:rRNA from 1 species
UACAGAGGGGGCAAGCGUUGUUCGGAAUUACUGGGCGUAAAGGGCGCGUAGGCGGCUUGUUAAGUCGAACGUGAAAUCCCCGGGCUCAACCCGGGAACUGCGUCCGAUACUGGAAGGCUUGAAUCCGGGAGAGGGAUGUGGAAUUCCAGGUGUAGCGGUGAAAUGCGUAGAUAUCUGGAGGAACACCGGUGGCGAAGGCGACAUCCUGGACCGGUAUUGACGCUGAGGCGCGAAAGCCAGGGGAGCAAACGGG